GACGAACGCUGGCGGCGUGCUUAACACAUGCAAGUCGAACGGAAAGGCCCUGCUUUUGUGGGGUGCUCGAGUGGCGAACGGGUGAGUAACACGUGAGUAACCUGCCCUUGACUUUGGGAUAACUUCAGGAAACUGGGGCUAAUACCGGAUAGGAGCUCCUGCUGCAUGGUGGGGGUUGGAAAGUUUCGGCGGUUGGGGAUGGACUCGCGGCUUAUCAGCUUGUUGGUGGGGUAGUGGCUUACCAAGGCUUUGACGGGUAGCCGGCCUGAGAGGGUGACCGGCCACAUUGGGACUGAGGUUAGGCCCAGAAUCCUAAGGGAGGCAGAAGGGGGGAAUAUUGCACAAUGGGCGGAAGCCUGAUGCAGCAACGCCGCGUGCGGGAUGACGGCCUUCGGGUUGUAAACCGCUUUCGCCUGUGACGAAGCGUGAGUGACGGUAAUGGGUAAAGAAGCACCGGCUAACUACGUG
rnacentral:rRNA from 1 species